rnacentral:rRNA from 1 species
CAAGUCGAACGGCAGCACGGGAGCUUGCUCCUGGUGGCGAGUGGCGAACGGGUGAGUAAUAUAUCGGAACGUGCCCAGUAGUGGGGGAUAGCCCGGCGAAAGCCGGAUUAAUACCGCAUACGAUCUACGGAUGAAAGCGGGGGAUCGCAAGACCUCGCGCUAUUGGAGCGGCCGAUAUCUGAUUAGCUAGUUGGUGAGGUAAAGGCUCACCAAGGCUACGAUCAGUAGCUGGUCUGAGAGGACGACCAGCCACACUGGAACUGAGACACGGUCCAGACUCCUACGGGAGGCAGCAGUGGGGAAUUUUGGACAAUGGGGGAAACCCUGAUCCAGCAAUGCCGCGUGAGUGAAGAAGGCCUUCGGGUUGUAAAGCUCUUUUGUCAGGGAAGAAACGGUAGAGGCUAAUAUCCUUUGCUAAUGACGGUACCUGAAGAAUAAGCACCGGCUAACUACGUGCCAGCAGCCGCGGUAAUACGUAGGGUGCGAGCGUUAAUCGGAAUUACUGGGCGUAAAGCGUGCGCAGGCGGUUGUGCAAGACAGAUGUGAAAUCCCCGGGCUUAACCUGGGAAUUGCAUUUGUGACUGCACGGCUAGAGUGUGUCAGAGGGGGGUAGAAUUCCACGUGUAGCAGUGAAAUGCGUAGAGAUGUGGAGGAAUACCGAUGGCGAAGGCAGCCCCCUGAGAUAACACUGACGCUCAUGCACGAAAGCGUGGGGAGCAAACAGGAUUAGAUACCCUGGUAGUCCACGCCCUAAACGAUGUCUACUAGUUGUCGGGUCUUAAUUGACUUGGUAACGCAGCUAACGCGUGAAGUAGACCGCCUGGGGAGUACGGUCGCAGGAUUAAAACUCAAAGGAAUUGACGGGGACCCGCACAAGCGGUGGAUGAUGUGGAU